AGUUCGUUAGCUCAACGGCAGAGCAGUCGGCUUAUAACCGACCGAUCGGAGUUCAAGUCUCCGGCGAACUA
rnacentral:tRNA from 1 species